rnacentral:rRNA from 1 species
UACAGAGGGGGCAAGCGUUGUUCGGAAUUACUGGGCGUAAAGGGCGCGUAGGCGGCCUUCUAAGUCGAACGUGAAAUCCCUGGGCUCAACCCAGGAACUGCGUCCGAUACUGGAAGGCUUGAAUCCGGGAGAGGGAUGCGGAAUUCCAGGUGUAGCGGUGAAAUGCGUAGAUAUCUGGAGGAACACCGGUGGCGAAGGCGGCAUCCUGGACCGGAAUUGACGCUGAGGCGCGAAAGCCAGGGGAGCAAACGGG